AACAAAUACGCGAAUGUGCUCACCACGCCUGGCAAUAACGUUGACGAACGCGCUACUCAAACGUGCGAACGAGUUUAUAGCGUUUCAAUGUAUAUACAAUUUGAAAUUUGUAUUUUAUGGAGCAGAGGAAAUACCAGUGUCGAGGCAAGGCAGCGAAUGACAAGAACGCCACCUUAUUGUUGGAAUCAAUAAAUUAAUUAAAAUAUCGCGUAUCGCGUAGUGUCUGGUGUUGUGACUCGCGCAAUGACGACGACAAUAUUUUACGUUAUCGCGAGCUAUACGCAAUGUGUAUGUAUACGGUGGAACGAACAAGUAGACGAAUUGGUAGACCGUUGAAUUAGUGGGACAACGGCGUUCGAUGUUAUCGUCUAGUCUAGGCGUUGGAAUUCAUUUCCACGGCAGAACGAUAAAGAGACGUGACGAUCUUCUAUAAUCCUUUUCUCAUUUUCACGGUUCAAGAAGGUCAUCUAUGUCGUUUGUCAAGUGAAAGUACAGUGUCACGUGCAAAGGCUGCGUGUCGUCGCGUCGAGGUGGUUUUCCCGGACGUAGAAAACGGUUUCAGGAUAGGAGAGUGCAUUUUAUGUGUCGCCCUCAUAUUUCGAAGGGAGUGGAAGGGUGGAAAAAACUCGAGAUAAAAAGAAUCGAGCAAAUUGAUUUUUCUUCUCAAAGACUUGGAAUCCUAACGCCGUAGAGGGAGGAAGAGAGAAGGAGGGAGGACACCUUUGCCAUCGAAUAAUAUCUUUGUGCUUUUAUCUCGGCACACGGAUGCUCUGUUACUGGACGUUCUAAAUAAUCAGCUUACUUAGCUAUAUAACGCACGUAAAGUACGUUGUUUCGCUUUAGGAAAUCGCGCAAAAAGUUCGCAAUUUGAUCGCGCCAAGAUGCACCGUUCCUAACUCGUUUUACGAAAAAUUUCGCCUGAACUUGCGCGAUGAGAAAACGCUAUGCGUCUAUGCAGCAAUUAAUACGUUGCAUUAUACGAUAUGUACAUACGUGUAAUUUAACUAAGGAGAUAGAUACUAACAAACUUGUUAACAGCAAGUUACGCAAUUAUACUAAGUGAGAAACUUGGCGUAGGCGUGUUUAAUUGACAUAAUAUGUAAUAUCUUACGUAACGAGUUUCUACUUUGGACUUGGGAAAUCGAAGGCCAUUGUGAUGUAACGAAGAUGAACGCAAACUCGAGGCUCACCGGAAACCAGCAUAAAUACGUCGACCUGUGCGACUUGACAACCGUGUGAGGGCAAACGACGCAAGUGGAAAUAAUCAUGGAUGAAACGAUUGCGAUCGCCCCUUUCGUUCUCCGAAAAACGAGAAAAGUAAUGGUAAAGUUGUACUCUCAUGUCUGAAAUACGGACGACAAGCGGAAAAACGGACGAUAACCGAGUACUCUAUGUACCGAAACCCUGACGAUCGUUGACUGGCAAGAAAGGAACAAAGCUCAAGGGAGACAACUAUCGAUUCUUGUAAUGCGUAACGUUUGAUUAACGAGACGCUUUUCCGCACAAUUACGUCAUUGCGAUACGUCGACGACGAUAGGAUAGGCGGAGGAAGCGUUGACAGACGUCUAUCGCCAUGAAGGCGAACGAUGGGAGGCGUUCACCCUUUUGUCGUGAUCGGAUAAGCCGAUAACAAUGGAGAUAAUGAAGGUAGGACUUUUGGUGAGAUUUACGAAGCAACCAGAUAACCAUUAUUAUAAGAAAUAAAUAUUCAACGUUUUGGUUCUGAUUGAAUUUCUUCAAGAAAAAAAUGAUUUCCUGCAAAGAAUUUUUAUUCGGGCAAGUGAAAUUGAUGAGAAAGUAGCGGAAAUAAUAAUAAAGACGAUAUUAUUGCAGUAUAAUAAUUCGUAAUACGCGAACAUCCUUCUAGGACAUCAUUAUCAUCCUUAUCAUCAUGGGCCAUGUGGUUCCACGACGUCAGAUUUUCGGCCUCACGUGCCGUCAGUUCUAAAGAGGACACGACGCUGACACAUACUUGUUAUUCAUUUGAUUAGUUUCAUCAACGCAAUUAUAAUUUAUGUGGAAUCCGCGCGUGCAAGAACUUCCGCCUCGUUGCAAGACAUUCUUGGAAGUCACGGCCACCUCUGCCCACCACGGGUUAAAGGCGGCGCUAAGGUACGAAAGCUGCGAGCGUUUAAGAGUUCCAAGGACGCAUAAAUAGCAAGCUCGUUUGCCCGAACAAGUCCUCACUCCCGAAACUCGGUACAAGAGGAGCUGGCAAAUUCCUCGUUCCAUUUUCAUCCCAGACAAUAUGCCUCUCGCGGCACGACCAACUUUCUCGGAACAUAUUUUUUCGUAGAACGUCGCGGGGUUGGAGCGCGUCUUAAAUCAUUUGGAUCUUCUCCUUCUCGUACUCGGCGGAAUAUCUGCUCGGUUCGAGAAGCGGAACGAAAGCAGGCUCUGCGAAUAAAGGAAGAGCGGAGGGAACGGAAAGAGAGGACAUCGUGGUCCAGCGCGGGACGUCGGAAAGGGUUGUCAGCUCAAAAGGGGAUUAAAGAAGAACGGAAUUUCUAGUAGUUAUGCCUGCCGGACUCGCAGCCUGCCUUGAAUUAUGAUCGCGCCCACUCCAGUCUCUAUUAAAGUUAUAAAUUUUCAAUUCAAUAACAUGUCGACUAUCGUCGGAUACAAUCACUGUUCGACCUAUUCGUUUGCUUAUAGCCUUGUAUACGUGUUUCUUUUCACCUAGGCGUCUCCGUGUCGAUCUCGAACGAACUGUAUAUUCGAGUUCAACGAAAUCUACGUGCGCUUCGCUGGCAACGUCCGAGGCUGUAUACGUAUAUGAACGGGCGGUCAUAUGUUCCGACAUUUGACAAAUUGUCCCAAUCCGGAACUCGCCGUUAAUCUAUUCGUCGUUACCUCUCUGUUGGUCGGAUCUCGCACGAAGAUCGAUAUCGUCAUUGGCAAACUGCCUAAGUCCGAAUAUGCCGGAUGUGUAACCAGCGGGAUUCUGUCGUCUUGCGAAAUGGACCGACGACGCGAUGUUCGCCUUUCUAUUAUUCCUUUCGAACGAUUCGCGCGUUCUUUAUGACCAAUAGCAGUGGAGUAGAGAAGCCGCUAACUCGUCCUCCGAAUCACGCGUGCACGGAUUAUCACGGCGGAUAGCCGGCCGUUCCUACUCGACUAGAAGAGAUUACACGCUCCGAACUUCGACAGUUAACGUCGCGAUAAAUUAUAGACCGUGGUGAAGAUCGCGCAUUGACGUACGAGCGGUUACGUCACUGUUGCCCCGCUCGCCACUAUUAUCCUUUCCCGCAACACGCGACCCAACAUCACGAAUGAUGCACCGUCCAAGUUUCCAACUUUUCAUCGAUGAAUCUUAAUUCGGCUGGUGCGUUUCUGCAACUCGCGGUAUUCUCGUAAUUCAAACUUACCAAAUAUAACUAUGUUGCGUUGUUCUGCGAUAAAUGACGAACAUCAGAGGGAAUUAAGGUUUGAGUUGAUUUCAUAGUUUCACUGUUCAACGAAGCAAUGAUAUCCGUUAACAAAAUAAAAAAAA
rnacentral:lncRNA from 11 species